AGAGUUUGAUCAUGGCUCAGAAUCAACGCUGGCGGCGUGCCUAACACAUGCAAGUCGAACGAGAAAGUGGAGCAAUCCAUGAGUACAGUGGCGACCGGGUGAGUAACACGUGAUCAACCUACCCUCGAGUGGGGGAUAACUCCGGGAAACCGGAGCUAAUACCGCAUAACAUCUUCGGUCCACAUGAACUGAUGAUCAAAGGAGCAAUUCGCUUGAGGAGGGGGUCGCGGCUGAUUAGCUAGUUGGUAGGGUAAUGGCCUACCAAGGCUUAGAUCGGUAUCCGGCCUGAGAGGGCGCACGGACACACUGGAACUGAAACACGGUCCAGACUCCUACGGGAGGCAGCAGUGGGGAAUUUUGCGCAAUGGGGGAAACCCUGACGCAGCAACGCCGCGUGGAGGAUGAAGUCCCUUGGGACGUAAACUCCUUUCGACCGGGAAGAUACUGACGGUACCGGAUGAAGAAGCACCGGCUAACUCUGUGCCAGCAGCCGCGGUAAUACAGAGGGUGCGAGCGUUGUUCGGAAUUAUUGGGCGUAAAGGGCGCGUAGGCGGCGCGGUAAGUCACCUGUGAAAUCUCCUGGCUCAACUGGGAGCUUGCAGGCGAAACUGCCGUGCUGGAGUGUGGGAGAGGUGCGUGGAAUUCCUGGUGUAGCGGUGAAAUGCGUAGAUAUCAGGAGGAACGCCUGUGGCGAAAGCGGCGCACUGGACCACAACUGACGCUGAGGCGCGAAAGCUAGGGGAGCAAACAGGAUUAGAUACCCUAGUAGUCC
rnacentral:rRNA from 1 species